rnacentral:rRNA from 1 species
UACGUAGGGGGCAAGCGUUGUCCGGAAUCAUUGGGCGUAAAGAGCGUGGAGGCGGCCUGAUAAGUCGGCUGUGAAAGUCAAGGGCUCAACCCUUGAAUGCCGGCCGAUACUGUCAGGCUAGAGUCCGGAAGAGGCGAGUGGAAUUCCUGGUGUAGCGGUGAAAUGCGCAGAUAUCAGGAAGAACACCCGUGGCGAAGGCGGUUCUCUGGGACGGUACUGACGCUGAGACGCGAAAGCGUGGGGAGCGAACAGG